GACGAACGCUGGCGGCGUGCCUAAUACAUGCAAGUAGAACGCACAGUUUAUACCGUAGCUUGCUACACCAUAGACUGUGAGUUGCGAACGGGUGAGUAACGCGUAGGUAACCUGCCUGGUAGCGGGGGAUAACUAUUGGAAACGAUAGCUAAUACCGCAUAAUAUUAAUUAUUGCAUGAUAAUUAAUUGAAAGGUGCAAUUGCACCACUACCAGAUGGACCUGCGUUGUAUUAGCUAGUAGGUGAGGUAACGGCUCACCUAGGCGACGAUACAUAGCCGACCUGAGAGGGUGAUCGGCCACACUGGGACUGAGACACGGCCCAGACUCCUACGGGACGCAGCAGUAGGGAAGAUUCGGCAAUGGACGAAAGUCUGACCGAGCAACGCCGCGUGAGUGAAGAAGGUUUUCGGAUCGUAAAGCUCUGUUGUAAGGGAAGAACGGGUGUGAGAGUGGAAAGUUCACACUGUGACGGUAUCUUACCAGAAAGGGACGGCUAACUACGUG
rnacentral:rRNA from 1 species